CCUCCCCUGCAAUGCAGGGAUCUUUAGCCCAAACUAGAGUUUGGGACUCAAACUCACAACCCUGAGAUUAAAAGCCUCAUGCCCUACUGACUGAGCUAUCCCAGGGAUUGUGUGAGUUUAAUUUUCAUUUUCAUUCAACUAUAUUGUUUUUCUUUUAUUUCUUUACCAUAAUAUGUUAAUUGAAUUAUAUGUUUUUGGUUACAUAAAUAAAAAUAAACAUUUAAGAAGAAAAAAACCCUGGCAAGUGGUCAGGGAUGAUGGUAAUUGUAAUCCAGCAACAUCUGGAGGGCCAUAGGUGCCCUAGCCCUGAUUUAGAGACUAAACUGGAGGUAGGUUUCCUGGUCUUCUAAAUAUUUCUGUUCCAGUGAAACUUUUCUCCUGGUAUGGAGAGAUUAAGAGAUGGGUAGUAGCCUUCCUUUGCUGGUUUUAGUUCAUUUAUCUCAAUGCAAAGCCUUUACAUUUCCCUCAGCCUUGCAUUCACUUGUGUAUUUAAUCUUCAGAAUAAGAACACAUUGGCAGUUAUGAGCUCCCUUUCACAUGCAAGCAUAUUUCUAUCACACAGUGCAUAGUCAGACUGUGGAACUCACUCCCACAGGAAACAGUGACAGGAUGGCUUUCAAAGAGGAUUCCACAAAUUACUACUAGUCAUAAUGGCUAUGGUCUGCCUCCACAGUCAGAGGGGCAGAAAUGCAGAAAUAUCAGUUGGUGGAAGUAGGGAGAAAACCUUUGCGCUCAGAUCCUGCAUGUGGUCACUUCCUAUAGAGGCAUCUGGUUAGCUAGUGUGAGAAAAGGAUGCUGAACUAUAUGGGACUUAUAGAAUCAUAAAACUGUAGAGUUGGAAGGGACCCUGAGGGUCAUCUAGUCCAACCCCCUGCAAUGUAGGAAUCUCAACUAGAUUAUUCAUGACAGAUGGUCAUCCAACCUCUGCUUGAAACCUCCAAAGAAGGAGAGUCCACCACCUCUUGUCGAAGGUUGUUCCACUGUUGAACAGCUCUUACAGUCUUGUGUUCUUAUCCAGAUUGGAUCUUAUUUUGACUUCGGAAUAACAAAAAGCAGGUUUACCCCCCUCCCUCAGCCCCUAAAAAAGUGAGACUGUGUAUCCAUGUAUGAUGGGAAACAGGGUAUCAUGCCAGUGUAACUGGGAGGAAAAGGUUUAAUUAAUGAAUAAAUGACACAUUCUCCCCUCACACUGGGCACUGUGCCCUCCUCUAUAACCAACUGCCUGAAAGGCAUGGCUUCUUGUUGGUUCAAUUGUAAUCCUGACCCUGGUUGGUGCACUCUUUGACAGUUCCAGUGGAAAGCCUUGAAAUUAUUUUGGCCAGACAGAGAGAGUGGGUGGCCUCUAGUGGUGGUGGUGGGGAAAGAAAUUAUGCUGCAUAAAUCUGGCAUAAUAUUUUUUAAAAAAUAUUACUUUCCAAAACUUUCUAACCCUUUUAGGGAACCUGUACCACACCAGCUUGCCUGUUGGACACCCCCUGCGUGAUUGCUACAGAACCCCGUUGCUUGCAGAUAAUUGUGGGAAAGGUUCUGGCUUGCCCCCUCUGUUCCUGAGGUGACAGUUCUGGUGAGUAAUCUGCCUUUCAGGUAAGCUUUUUCCAUAUUAUAGAGCUCCAUGUUAAGGAAGUCCCUGUUUUUGUAGAACAGCAUAUGUAGUUUUUGAAAACAAAUGAAGAAUUUUUAUGUUUAGGAAACAACAAGGAGAAGCAGGACUAAGAUGUGGAGAUAAGCUCCAGAGAUCCAGACCGUGGGGAGCCCCAAGAAAUUAAUAAAUACAAUUUGGACUAUG